AUUAUUUUGCACCCUUUUAUAUGCCAAUAAAUGAUAUCUGUAAACGAUGAUUCCGAAAAUCGACACCAUAGCAAGCCCAAAAGCAACAAAUGAACCACUUAUUAUUAGGACUGUCCUGCUAGUGCCAAGGUUCUUCUUCUCCGUUAUAGGCUCUUUAUUGUCCAUGGUGGAUAUGGGUCUACCCACCUUGACGACAACCAAGUUCGAACUUUCUAAGUUUCUCCUCCCAAAUCUCAAAGGAAGCCUUUGCUUUCUGCAGUACUGCCCAUCAGUGAAUAAUGCUGCUUCACAGUUACAGUCUUCCAAACAGGCUUGCUUACAAUUGUCUUUAGUUGUUGAUGACAAAACGGAGUAUGAAACAUCUUCCCACUCAGUAUUAGACAGCUCUUCCAUGGUGUAUGGGCUACUUCCAUUCUUGUCUUUGCAACUUUCAGCUUUGAAAUCCCUCUCACAGCCAGAAGUCCAAUUUCCCUGGGCAACAAACUCAAAUCCAGGAAGACAAGUACAUUCAGCUUCCUGAUCCUUCAUAACACAAUAUCCAUUAAGACCGCAUGAUCCUUUCGGGUCACACUUGUUGCUUGUGGAUGACCACACAGCUGACCAGUUUCCAUUCACUGUCAGAUUUUGUGAAUAUAAUCUGAAAAUCCCAUCAGCAUCAAGUUUCAUAAUAUUAAUUGUUUCUUUCGUGUGAUAUCCUCCAGCUGUAAUGUUUUCUAUGUUGAAACCUGUGGAAUUGAGCAGGUAGAGACGGCCAUCCGGAUCAAGAUUUAGGGUCACAUUACCCCCCGCCCAAUAAGUACCAGAUGCAAAAUAAGCAUAUUGAGGUGCAUCUGGAGUACUAACAGGAUACUGCACAAGGUUGCCAUCAUUUUGCAUCUUGAGUCGGUAAAUACCAGUUGAGAGUUCAGUUUCUGAAACAGGAGAAACCAGCUCUGCCCCUGCUCUGAGUUGUUGAGUUGGCAAAAGGGUAUCUGUUGGGUGGUCAAAACUCUGCCAUAUAAUCUCGCGAUCAGAAUUAUAUAGCACAAAGUUGCCUGAAUCAGACAUAGAAGCUAAAGAAGCUUUCUGGGAUGCAGAAACUAUCGGAGUCUCAUCCCCUUGUGCUGAUCUCAAGACAACCCUUCCUUCACUGGUGAAGAGCAAGGUCGCAUUACUGGGGACUGGGGCAUCAUCCCUUGUAGCAGCCCACACAACAGUCUCUAGUGAAAUCCCGGAUAGAAAAACCCCUAUAGAAUAGCCGUCGCGUUGUCGGAAAAAUCCGAAAGCAUAAAGACCGGAAGGUGACAACCAUGAGGAGUUUGUGAUAGGUGUUAGAGAAGAUCCGAGGGUUAUAUUGGUCUGUCUUUGAGCUGAAGCUGCAAAAGAUAAGGCGAGAAGAAGAAAAAAGAUGAUAGAAGCCAUGGAUAGGGAUUUAGCUCUUGUGUGGUAUGGAGUGUCAAUAUAAGGAUGUCUAUUGUUCCAGCACUCCAGUCUCUUUCUUUGGGUUCCAGCAGUGAAGCCAGGCACUCAGAACAUGAAAGUCUAGCCAUAAAAUCCACCGCGUUUCCCUACCAAUUAGUGGAUAUCCUUGCGCUUACUUGUAUGCUUUCAAAGUCAAUGCAGUCAAGUCACUGAAAAAUCUCGGCAAUUACCCUGCCAUAAUACUAGGGCAAGACAGAACAACUCGCUUGCUUAUACUAAUGUCCCUCAAAUGCUAAAGCCUAGCUAGCAACCUCAGUUUCUAACGAAAGAGCGCCUCUACAUGUUGCGUAACUAACAAUCCCUUGAAUAUUAAAACUGAAAAGUGGAGCACAUUGGACCAUUGAUUUUAUGAUCAGUUCCACUGUACGACAUUAUUCAGAGUACAACUGAGGUGGUCACGGCAAGGACUGAGUCAAGGGACAACCUAGCAUUUGCUGACCUGCUCUUCUCAGCAAAAGCUUCUUCUCUCACCAGCUUUAUGCCAUGGUUGCUGAUUGGAGGGGCUUUAUAAUUUAUUUAUUACAAAUGUGCUAUGAAAAAGAAAAAAAAUGCAAUGAUAUUUGUCACGACCCGAAUCCCGGAUCCAUGACCGGAACAUAGAUAAGGUUCCCUUCCAAGGUUUUAUACCUAUGCGAACCUAAACUUAUAUACAAACUUAUCCUUCAAAACUCAAUUAGAGUUCAACGCAGCACUAAUAACAAAAUAAACUUCAUAAUAUAAUUUGAUUGUCUUAAUACAAGAGUUCAUAUAAAUUCAUAUUUGUAGAGCACUAACUAGACAUAAAAGAAAAUAUAAAAUUACAACCAAAAUAGCAAGUUUUGAAGGUCCUACAAAAGUGACCUGCUAACAAACUAUAAGCCUGAAAAGAUAAAUAAUGAGAGGGUGAAUUCAACAACUGAGAGAGUAGAUAACAUUUAAUAUAUACACAUGAUGUAAUACAACAAUGAUGAAUAUAUACACAAUUAUAGCUCUAGGUUCUUAUAGGAACGUUUCUCAAAUAGGCCAUAACAAGAAUAUCAUAAGGUAAAACUCGUUAAAAAAUCAAAAUGCAAUGAGCAUAGGGCUCCGUAUUGUGGGAUGAUCAGUCCACACAGGUUGGUGAAUUGCUCGACCAACUAACAUAGUGGAAGCUUCUGUGGAAAUAGGACGCCGCCUAUUUCUGGGAAAAAUCGUUUGAAUCCUCGAACCAAAAAUUACACUCGAAUCCAUGAGUUCAGAAAUUAAAAUUCUCUAAGAGAAAGUUCUUUAUUGAAUUAAAAAAUGCCUUACAAUGAAAAGAGGCAGCCUUUAUAUAGGCUGCAAAUCCUAAUACGACUAGGAAUAUAAUUGUUUAAGAAAGAAAUAACUAGAAUAAAGAAAGAAAAUACUACAGCUAGAAAAGUAAAUAAAUCCUGAUAUUACAACAUUAAUUAGGACUCCUAAAUAAGGAGGCAAUCUGGUGGAAGGAUACUCCAAUAGUAACUGCAGUUCCUGAUUUCUCUGCAAUUAUAUUAUAUCCUUCAAUCUGCUCUUCCUCUCCUCCUGUAGAUUGUUCUACAUUAGUCUUUCCCUGCAUAAAAAGAACUCGUCCCCGAGUGAGUUAAGUGAGAAGACGCCAUAUCAGAAGGAUGAUACUCAUAUAAAUCUGCCACGUUGAAAGUAGGGGAAAUGGCCAUAUCUGCAGGAAGGUUGACAACAUAUGUGUUGUCAUUAAUUUUCUAAAGGAUUUGGAAAGGUCCAUAUUUCUUGUCUUUCAGCUUGUUGUAUGCUCCUACAGGUAGUCGUCCUUUGCGCAAAUAAACCAUCACAACGUCCCCUUCUUGAAAGGUUUGGACCCUUCGCUUUUUAUCUGCUGUAGUUUUGUACUUGGCGUUAGAAGCCUCUAAGUUUUGCCACACUUCUUCUUGAAUGGAAUUUAUAUGGUCUGCAAUAUUUUCUGCUGCAAUGCCUAAACCCGACAGUUUUGGAAGAGGAACUAAGUCUAACGCAUGGCGCGGAGGACAACAAUAAACAAUCUGAAAUGGUGUCUUCCUAGUGGACCGGUUGAGCAUAUUGUUAGAAGCAAACUCAGCUUGUGUCAAAUCAACAUCCCACUAUUUUGGUUAUAUCCUAGAAAGAUAGCAAAUUAGAUUCCCAAGAGUGCGGUUUACUAUCUUUGUUUGGCCAUCGAACUGAGGAUGGUCGGUGAUGCUAAAAUUCAGGGAUGUGUUAAACCGUCACCAUAACAUUCGCCAAAAAUGACUCAAGAAUUUGGUGUCUCUGUCGGACGUGAUGGACUUGGGAACCCCAUGUAGACGCACCACCUCCUUGAAAAAUAAAUUUUCUAUAUACACUGCAUCUGCAGUCUUCUUACAAGCAAUAAAAUGAGCCAUUUUAGAAUACUUGUCGACCACUACAAAAACUGAAUCAAAUCCGCGUUGGGUUCGCGGUAGGCCUAAGAUAAAAUCCAUGGAAAGAUCCUCCCAAAGUGCUGCUGGGAUAGGCAAGGGCAUAUACAAACCGGUAUUUUAGGACUGUCCUUUAGCAGCCUGAUAUAUGGGGCACCGUUUAACAUAGUUGCUAAUGUCUCUUUUUAACUGGGGCCAAUAAUACCUCUCAUCAGUAAGGGCUAUUGUUUUGUCAUGCUCCAAGUGUCCACCCAAGCCUCCACUAUGUAAGUCAUGAAUUAUGGGUAUGCAUAAUUGGUUACCAUGAAAUAAGUAGCCUUCCUGGAUAUGCAGGUUCUCCACAGGAAGCCCCGUUUGACACUUUCUCCAACUAUCUUGAAAAUCUUCAUCACCAGCGUAUAACUCUUUUAGGCAAUCAAACCUAAUGACUUUAGUUUGUAGAGUGACUAGCAGCAAUGUCCUCCGGCUGAGAGCAUCAGCUGCUCGGUUUAGUCAUCCAGCCUUAUAUUGUAGUGUGAAUGUGAAGCGUUGAAUAAAUGAAAUCCAGCGGGCAUGCAUUCUGUUGACACUAUUCUGGAUGUUGAUAAAUCUUAGUGCUUGAUGGUCGCUGAAUAAAAGGAAGUCUCGGGGUACUAGCUAGUGUUCCCAGACUUUCAAGGCGCAAAAGACGACAUACAACUCUAGCUCAUAGGUAGACCACUUCUAGCGAGCUUCACCGAGUUUUUCACUGUAGAACGUGACCGGUUUGCCUUCUUGAGACAACACAACACCAAUACCCAUGAUAGAGGCAUCGCACUUGAAAUAAUUUGACAAAAUCUGGUAGUGCCAGAACUGGGGCCGAUGAUAGUUUUUCUUUGAUCAAUUUAAAGCUCUGCUCUGCUGCUUCUCCUCAAUGGAAUUUCCCUUUCUUCAUGCAUUCAGUAAUAGGUGUGACUAUUCGACUAAAAUCUCUAACAAGUCGUCUGUAAGACGUUGCUAGUCCAUGAAAACUAUGGACCUCGCUUACUAUUCGGGGAGUCGGCCAAUCUCGAAUGGCGCAAAUCUUUUCUUCAUCUACCUUAAUUCCAUCGACACUUAUUACGAACCCCAAGAAUAGCAAGCUACUGGUCAUAAAGCUGCACUUUUUCAAAUUAACGUACAACUUAUUUUGCUGCAGAAUUUUAAGUACUUCCUUCAAGUACACAACAUGGUCAGAUUGGGUUUGGCUAUAGAUUAAUAUAUCAUCGAAGUAUACCACCAAAAAUUUUCCAGUGAUAGGUUUCAAUACCUGGUUUAUAAACCGCAUGAAAGUACUGGGUGCAAUGGUUAGUCCGAACAACAUUACUAACCACUCAUAUGAGCCCUCAUUUGUUUUAAAAGUAGUCUUCCACUCACCUCCUAGUCUGAUCGAAAUUUGAUGGUACCUGCUUCGUAAAUCAAGUUUUGAAAAGACUUUGGAUCUGGAUAACAUGUCCAACAUAUCUUCUAAUCGAGGGAUAUGGAACUUAUAUUUAACAAUGAUCUUGUUGAUUGACCGGCUAUCGAUGCACAUGCAUUAACUACCAUCUUUCUUUGGCACUAACAAGGCUGGUACUGCACAAGGGCUCAUGCUCUCAUGUACUAGUCCUUUCUUAAUCAUUUCUUUUACCUGUGCUUGCAGAACCUGACUUUCUUUGGGAUUCAUCCGGUAAUGGGGGCGAUUAGGCAAACUAGAUCCUAGCAUGAAAUCAAUCUGAUGUUGUAUGUCCCGUACAGGAGGUAACCCAUUAGGUAGGUCUGAUGGUAUAACUUUAUGAAAUUCCUCCAGUAAUGGCAACACUAUAGGUGGAAUGUCAAUAUGAUCCCUGCCAACUUCUCCUCUUAUUACUGCGGCAAAAAUCUCUUUGGCUUCCUUAGUCUCUUCCAUGAAUUUCCCCUGUCCACUAGCAAUACUGGUUUUCCUUGUGGCUUCGGUUUAAUGCUAGCAAACUCUUAUUUUAUAGGACCUAGAACGACCUUUAACCCCCUUCAUGAAGACAAAAACUUUGUCACGACCUCUAUAAGUGGCGUCUACAACAUACUACUAGGGGGCGUCCCAAAAUUACAUGGCAGGCAUCCAUUUCCACCAUGUCAUAUGUAACUUCAUCUGUAUAAUUCUUUCUAAUUGAGAAUUUAAUGUGGCAGACUUCAGUUACCUUUACUUUAGUGCCACGUUUGAUCCAGCCAAUGUUUAAAUGGUGCAUGAUGCUUCUCAAUUUGCAAUCCCAACUUAGUAACAAUUGGUUUUGAUACUAUAUUUUUGCUACUGCCAGUGUCAAUGAUAAUAUCACAGACCCUCUUGUUCACGGUGCACCUGGUUCUGAAUAUAUUAUGCUGCUAAGAGGGUUCUUCUCGUUUUGGUGCCAACAGUAGCCACUGAACUACAAGAGACCGCGACAAUAGUUCUCCCUCAUCGCCUCCUAUUACUUCUUAUUCUUCUUCUUCUUCUUCUUAUGUAUAGGCUGCUUCAUUAUAAUAUUUCGCUGUGUCGAAGAGGCACUCUUCUUCUGGCUCUAUUAAGUUCACGGUACUCCUUCUUAGACACUGGUUGGAACGGUGUCGUGGCUAUCCAUAUCUAUAACAUUAUUCGAUCCUGGACGAGCAUAAGGAUUUCUAGGCGUCACCUCGGAUGGAAUGGUAUUGGUAGGCUUUGUUGGUGCUCCAUUGCUGCUUGUUCCCUGUAUAGUGUUAGAGAAUGAGGGUUGGGUUGUUGAGGUCGUCAGGGUCAUCGGGGUCUUUCCUUUGUUGACUGUUGCUCUAUUAUUAUCAAAUGGAUUCCUGGUCCCAACCAUUUCCUUUGAUCUAUCUAAUUGGGUCUCUGCCUUAAUAGCCAUUGCAAGGGCUUCUGUUAGAGUGUAAACUGUUUGCAUCGCCACACAAUCCUGUAUAGCCCAAUGCAGACCUCCAACAAACCUGGCAACUUGUUGUGCCUCUGUUUCCAGUAGAUUAUUUCGUGAUGAUAGCAUGUGGAAUUCUUCCAGGAAAGCUUCAAUGGUUCUGGCUCCUUGUCUACAUUCCUAAUACUGUUUAAACAAAAUUUGCUUGUAAUCUGGUGGUAGAUAACGGGAACGUAAUAGUCGUUUUAUUUUAGUCCAUGUUUGAACCAUCCCCUUCCCUUUUCAUAGCUAGGUACUUUGUAGUUACUCCCACCAGGCAGAAGCUCCCCUCAAUAGUCUAUAUGCGACUAACUUCACCUUCUUAUCUUCAGGAAUGUUCAUAUAAUCAAAGAACCUCUCGACUAAUACCAACCAAUCAAGGAACCCUUCAAUCUGAAGUUGUCCAUUAAAAUUAGGCAGGUCCAUCUUCAUUCGAAACAUUUAUCAGUCUGGUUCCCUUUGGUAUCCUCUCCAGUUUCCCCAGAGUAUAGCUUCAGCUUCUUCUUCAUCCUCACUUAGGGUGUCCUCAUAGACUGGUUGCCUUCGUAGGAUUCUUGGAGGGCGUUCACAACUUUCAGCCCUUUCUCUGUGAUGUUGAUGACCUGGGGGAUUGUUGAUCCCUUGAUUAUUUCCUGCUGUCAACCUAGCAAGGGCUGCUUGGAUAUCACGUAAGGUUUGUUGUGUCUCAUGCUGGAAAAUUUUGAAUUCAACCCCUAUAACCAAAUUAUCCCCGCGGUCACCACCACCAAGGGUUUCGCUUUCGUUGUGUGGGUUUGCCAUCUAACAGGAUUAGGCCUGCUCUGAUACCAACUGACGUAGCGGAAGCUUCUGUGGAAAUAAGACACCGUCUAUUUCCGGGAAAAAUCAUUCGAAUCCUUAAACCAAAAUUACACUCAAAUCCACGAGUUCAGAAAUUAAAAUUCUCUAAGAGAAAGUACUUUAUUGAAUUCAAAAGUGCCUUACAAUUAAAAGAGGUAGCCUUUAUAUAGGAUGCAAAUCCUAAUUCGACUAGGAAUAUAAUUGUUUAGGAAAGAAAUAACUAGAAUAAAGAAAGAAAAUACUACAGCUGGAAAAGUAAAUAAAUCCUGAUAUUACGACAUUAAUUAGGACUCCUAAAUAAGGAGGCAAUCUGGUGGAAGGAUACUCCAAUGGUAACUGCAGUUCCUGAUUUCUCUGCAAUGAUAUUAUAUCCUGCAAUCUGCUCUUCCUCUCCUCCUGUAGACUGUUCUACAUCACCAACUAGGGUUCAGAUACGAUAUUCAGAAAGACUAACAAUACCCUAUUAGCAUGGGUAUUUUGACUGGCAUACCAUAGGUUUAUAAUCAUAAUCAAAUAGACAUAUUCAUAUCUCAGGGCUCAACUUAUGACAUCAAUCAAAUGAGGAGCUAUCAAUUCAGAAGUCAAUUCAAAAUAUAUAUUGGUUCAUAUUAAGAAUUUAGAUUCAACUAUUGAUCAUGCUUUAUCAUAACACGAAUAAUAAUCAACAUAUAUAUUAUCAAGAAACAUGAUCCAAUUUAUAUUAACAACUCAAAUAUUUAUAAUAUUACUCAUGCAUAUGGAAAAUUAUCCACUCACCUAACUCAAAAGUAAACAUAACUCAAAAGCAGAUACCGAAAGAAAUCCUACUAAUGUUCGGUCGAAAAUCAUGAUUAUCUGAAUACAAAUGAGAUAUAUUAAAAAAUGACUCAAAAGAACAUAUAACCUAUUUAAUACACUUAUCUAAGGGUAUAUUUCAUAACCCUAUAUGUUUUUAGACUAAACUAGUUAUGUUUCCUAAAAACUUAAAAAUUAACGGUUUUCCCGAAAUCUAAUCCAUAAUAAAAUAAAUAAUAAGACUUGGUAAUAAUUCACUAAAUAAACCUUAUUUAUUCAUCAAACCAAUAUGAAAAGCUAAUAUUACAGCUAGAGACCAAUCUAGAAUUUAUCAUAUUUUCUAGGCUCCAAUCCCAUUUCUUGGUCUGCACGCAAACAAAGAGCUGUAUCGUGUUCUUCUACAGAAGUGGAAUUUCGUGCAUUAGCUGAUGCCACCUCUAAAACAAUUUGGCUUCACUCCUUUAUCAAUGAACCUGGCUUACAUCCUAAAAAUCCUCCCUAGGUUUUUCGUGAUAACAUUGGUGCAACUCAUUUCAACCUAAAUCCAGUGCAACACACUCGUAUGAAACACAUCGAAAUUGACCUUCUCUUUGUUUGUGAUCUUAUCUAGAAAGGUUGUAUUACUGUCAGUUUUUGUUACCCAAUUUUUGACCCAUCUUUUUGAUAAAAUUUUCGGAAAAUCAAAAAAUAGCGAAAAACAACAAAAAUCCAAAAAACUAUUUUUUAAAUAUAUUUGCAUUGUUUUUAGCAUUUUCAACGUCGUCUAAAAAAGAAUUUAAAUUUUCAAAGGUUUUUGAACGCGUUCGACUUUUCACGCAUCAUUUUUAAAAUCAUUGAUUUUCCUUGUUGUAACCCAUUUUUGGGUCCCCAUGAAAAAUAAAAUAAAUAGCCAAAAGAGUUUAGAAAAAAUAACAGAAGGCAGAAGCGCUCAGGAAACAGUCAGAAAAUUGGUCAAGAAAUUCAAAAAUACAAGGAUUAAAUUUUUGACAGUAUAUUCUUGAAGGAUGAAAGCCCUAUUGAGAAGGAAAAUUUGAAUUUUUAGGAGAAAAGCCCAAAUUUGGAUGUUUAUGGACUUAAUUGGAUUUUUAUUUGAAUUUAUAGAAGAUUUGAUUGCAAGAAAAAUUGAUUUUUAAGUCAAUUGGGCUUUAAUUGGAAACAUUUAAGUUCUGGGGCCAAAAUAUAUUUUUUAGGAAUUUAUUGGGUCAAAUCAGGGGCUCAAUUGCAUAAAUAUUGAAGUUUAAGGGCCAAUUAGGGACUUAAUUGUGAAAAUCCGAAACCAGGGACCAAUUUGGAGAAGGCGCAAAGAUAGAGGGGGCUGUUUGGAUUUGUUUCAGGGGCUUAAUUGAAGAAAUUGAAAGUUUAUUGAUCAAUUAGGGGCUCAAUUGCAUAAAUCAGAGGCCAAGGACCAAAGUGAAAAAGGCGGCCAACAAGAGGGGCCGGGGACCGAAUUUGGGGGACUGAUUUGAAGUUCAGCCAUUUAAAUGAAACGGCGCGUUUUACCCAAAACGACGCCGUUUCAUAAAAAAAAAAAAAAAAAAAAACGGUGUCGUUUUGAACGACACUGUUCAUCUUCCUCCUCCCCCCCGUUUUAACAGAACAGAAGACAAAAAAUUCGAAAAUCUUCCCGCGCCUCUCUCUCUCCUCGCCCCCACCACCUUUAGCAUUGGCCGACCAGCCGUUGCACCGCACUAACGAUGGUCCCCCACGGUUCGCCCCUAUAAAUAGAGAAGAAAACCGAAGCUGCAGGAAGAAAAAAAAAAAAACCGAAGGGAGGAGAGAGAGAGGAGGCCGAAGAGAGAGAGAGAACCGAACACCGAAGAGAGAAGGAGCCGCAGCGCCGCCCGGGAAGCCACGCCACCGCAGCACCACCUCCUCCACGCCAGGUCACCUCUUCCCCCCCCUGUCGUUAGUUUUUAUUUUUUCCCUGCAUGCAGAAUGAACAUUCUGCAUGCAGGGAGGAGGGGGAAUUAAUUCCCCCCUUGUUUAUGUAGCUGGGCCAGGUGGAUCCUGGCCCAGCAUCAUUUGUUUUGGGCCAGACUGAGUCUGGCCCGGCCUUGUAUCUGACGGGCCAGACCAGGUCUGGCCCAUACCAGCUCUCUGGGCCAAGUCCGGCCCAGAUAUUUGGGCCGGCCCAGCCCGAAUUAUUUUUAUAUUAUAUGUGUGUAUAUAUGUAUAUAUAUAAAAUAUAAUAAUAAAAAAAAAUAUUUUGAAAAAUCUUAAAAAAAUAUUGUUGAUUUUUCUGCAUAUUUUUGUCAAAAAUGUUUUAAUUUUGGUUUGUAUUUUUAUACUGUAAAGAUACAAAACCAGUGUUAUAAAUACCCGGUUUUCGUCAAAACAUCAAAGAUUUUCAGAAUAAAAAAUGUUUUUGCUUUCAAAAAAAUUCUAAAAAGUCCCUAAAAAUGUUGUUGAUUUUUCUGCAUAUUUUUAUCAAAAUGGUUUAAUUUUGGUUUGUAUUUUUAUACCGUAAAGAUAUAAAACCAGUGUUAUAAAUACCCGGUUUUCGUCAAAAUAUCAAAGAUUUUCAGAAUAAAAAAUGUUUUUGCUUUCAAAAAAUUUCUAAAAAUUCCCUAAAAAUGUUAUUGAUUUUUCUGCAUAUUUUUUAAAAGGAUUAAUAUUGGGUUGUAUUUUUAUACCGUAAGGAUACAAGCUCAGUAUUAAAAUACCCGAUUUUCGUCAAAGCAUAAAAAAAAUAAUAUUUUUAAAAAUUGUUUUUGUUUUAAAAUACGGCCUAGUCUCUCCAAUAUAUAUACAUAAAUAUUAUAACAUCAUAUUUUCACACAACAAAGAAAAUUUUCAAAACAAUAUAUGUAUUAACAUGCAUUUUGGCUUUAAUAACCAGUUUAUUCAAGCCAUGAGAACUAGGCCAAUAUUUCAAAAAUUCUAAAAAAUCUUUUUGUUUUAUUUUAGUAUUUGGGAUUACGAAUUUAUACGUAAAACGUAUUCCUAAGUAUUAUUAAUAAAAUUUUGGUAUGGACGUUAGAACGGUUAGGAUUUUUACCCGAUAAGAUAAAAGACCUUCUUACUGAGGAGGAUUUUUCUUGAACCAUAGACAGACAACGACUAGGAAAACACAAUAACACUUUAGUUUUUUUUAUCAGACAAUAAAACAAUGCAGCUUACCUUAGGUAGGGCGUAUUUGGGGUGCUAAUACCUUCCCUUUACGCAACCAGUCUCCGUACCCGAUCUCUGAGACCAGUUAGGUUCCUAGUGACCAAAAUACUAGGUGGCGACUCCAAAGAACCAAAUAAAAAUAAAAAAAAAAAUUCGCCAGUCGAACCCGCAAUUGAAAAUUUGAAUUUUUUUGGGGUGCGACAGAAUGGCGACUCCACUGGGGACCUUGUAGACUAAGCUUUGUUUUUGUCUGAUUUAUUUGUGUUUGCCUGUGCUUAUUUUUUAUAUGCCUUUCCUUUUAUUUAAUCGCGUAUUUAUUUUUAUUUUUACGCGCAUUUAUUCAUGCAUUAUAUACAAUUGUCUCAUGCAUCACUUGCCUUAAUUUUGAAAAGCACACACAAGCCUUAAGUUAAGUGGGGAAUUAGCGAUUUACCCUAAGACUAUUGGUCAGGGUUUAAAUGCGUGAAACACCCAACUCAUAUCUGAGUGCCUGCUUGGUAAUGGUGGACAUACGUGUCUUAACUGUUCCUUGCAACGCCCCCAUACUGUCUUUACGAAGAACGUCACUGGGCAGAUAUGAGAACCUUCAAGACUAGAUAGAAAAACUACCCACUCUCACUUAAUAAAUAGAGCUUGUCCUUAGGUUAUGUAUCUUAUUUGCAUCAAGAUUAAUAAUGUUAUACUCAUCGCACAUCACUUGUGCAUCACAUUUUCAUCACGCAUUUUGUUAUCAUAUGCAUUACAGAUCGUGAAACAUAGGUCCUACAUCCAGAGUCCACCAAACCCGGUCCAGAUCAAGAAUGGAAAACGAAGAAAGAGCUCAAUUAGAGUCGCACUACCAGACCGAGUUGGAAUCUGUGAAAAAUGAAGUUUCUCGACUGACCAGUCUGCUUGAGCAACUUUUAAGAGCCAAGAAUGGGGAGGGAACAUCUACCCAACCACCUAUAGGAGCACCAUCAGUUCAUGUCCGGGGGAUCUCAGAACUUGGGGGCAGAUUCAGUGACGGGGCAGCACUUUGCACCUACCAUUCCCAUUCAGCCCCCUCAAGCUCACAUCACUGUGGAAGGGCCUCCCGAUAAUAGGUCCACCGGAUUUAUGAACGAUGACAAGAUAUCAGCCUUGGAAGAAAGGUUAAGAGCAGUCGAGGGAAAUGACUGGUUUGACCCCAUGCGAGCAUCUGAAAUAUGCUUGGUACCAAACAUCACGAUACCAAAAAAAUUUAGGAUACCGGAGUUUAUAAAGUACACUGGGUUGGAAUGCCCAAACACUCACCUUCGAUCUUAUUGCAAUAAGAUGGCUGAGGUGAUUCAUGACGAUAAGUUACUGAUCUACUUUUUCCAAGACAGUCUAUCGGGGUCGGCGCUAAGUUGGUACAUGAGGUUGGAUAAUGCCAAGAUCAAGAAAUGGAAGGAUUUAGUUGAGGCUUUCCUUAAGCAAUACAAGUUCAAUUUGGAAAUUGCUCCAGAUCGAACGAGCCUUAUGUCAAUGGAAAAGAGAAGCCAAGAAUCAGUAAGGGCUUAUGCGCAAAGGUGGAGGGACGAGGCCAUGCAUGUGCAACCCCCUUUGAUAGAAACGGAGAUGGUGACUUUGUUCGCCAAUACAUUCAAGGCACCCUACUAUGAGCAUUUAAUGGGUAGCUCAUCUCAACAUUUCUAUGAUGUUGUACGCAUAGCGGAAAGAAUAGAGCAAGGGAUUAAAGCUGGACGCAUAAUUGAGCCAUUGGAGACAAAGGGUUUUUUCGGAAGAAAAAUGAAAGGUCCCGUUAACAACUUCGAAGGUGGGUCCAAUGACAAGAUAACAGAUUCAUAUAACCCACAAAUACCUACCUCUCAUGUGGCCCACAUAAACUUUAACAAACCUUUUUCCCCUAAUCGAGCAAAUGGCCAGUCAAACACCCAAAACAACCACCAAAGACCAAACACAAGAUACAUUUCAGAACAACUACCGCCAUUACCCAUGCCUCUAAAGGAUAUAUAUGCCAAAUACUAAGCAUUGGACAAAUAGCUCCUAUCCCUACAUUACCACUACAGCCACCAUUCCCCAUCUGGUAUAAGCCCGAGUUGACUUGCGAGUACCAUGCUGGUAUUCCCGGGCAUUGUCUUGAAACGUGCUACGGUUUCAAGAACAAGUUGUUGAAGCUCAUCAAGAUAGGAUGGGUGUCAUUUGAAGAUGCACCCAAUAUCAGUUUAAAUCCAUUGCCUGGUCAUGACAAAAGUGAUAGGGGAUAAAGGUUGGAAAACCUUGGUCAAGAGUCGUCAAUAAUGAAGAAGGCGAGAUCGAAGGAGAAGACAAGGAAAUGCAAGUGGGGAAGGAAGAUGAAGCAUUGCCUCGGUUGACUUUCCACACACUAGAAGAAGUUUCAGAACGGGUUGACCCAAGAACUUCUCGUAGUUUUCAAAAUGUAAAACAACUUUAUUUGCCUUAGCAUGUUUUUGUCAUUUGCUUUUGUCUUUGCUUUUUAUUUUCUCUAGUGAGCAUUCAGAGCUCAUAUUGUCAGCCAGAUUUUUGUGUUUGUCUUUGAGCCUACCUUUUCUUUAAAUAAAUGAUGAGUUUAUGCAUUUUUUUAACAAGUUUGAGUGGUUACAAAUAAAGUAUCAAUAAAAUGGUUUAAUAUGAAAUUUAAGAAAAGCUAAAGUACAACCCUAUCUCUGAUAGCAUGGAUAAAUGUUUAAGUGGUCACUUUGUAAUUGUCUUUUAAAGAAUAGAGUUUAUCAACCAUAACAAUGGCAUUUUGAAAUAAAAAAAAAUCAUUAUCUAUUCACUCACUAAAAAAGUUUAUCACCGGCUGAAUGAAUUGCUUCUCUAUAUAAAAACCCAGACUAAUAUCGCACCCCUAUACUAGGGGGCAAGACGGAUGUUUUAUGAAAAGUUUUACGAUUUGAAAACCAAGCUAAAGCAUUUGACAAAAGCAUGACAAAGAGGCAAAUACAAGUCAUACAUUUUGAGAAAAGGACUACUUGAAGAAAGUCAAAGACCUUUUCUCCAAGAAUAUGAUAGGCAACACGAGAGAUGAAUCCAGCAUACGACUUCAAAAGCAAGUUCAUGUUAAGAGGGAGUCCCAUGAACUAGAAGAAGAGGAUGGGGCCUAUGUUUCAAAACCAGGUACGAAUGCAUGCAUUGCAUCUAAUCAUAAAUCAUUGCAUAUAUGUUUUUUUUGGAUCGUUACAGGAGGAGAUCUUAGCGCAUUCCAACAAGAUUAUGGACGAAGAAAAUCAUUGAGUUGAUUCUAGAACAACAAGAAGAGAAGAUAAUGGUUUUCAAACCCUGCCAGCAGGAAGAACGACAUCGAUAGCAUUCGGUAAAAAGGAAUCGCCAGAUGUGAUUCCAAGUUGUUGAGAUCGCCAGAAGGGAUCUCGUAUUUCGAUGGAGGUCGCCAGAAGGGACCUCAUAUUUCAGUUUUGAAUAAAAGGAAUCACAAGAUGGGAUUCCAAGUAGUUUGAGAUCGCCAGAAGGGGUCUCGUUUUAUAUUCACCAAUGAAGGUCGCCAGAAGGGACCUCAAAUUUCAGCUUUGGUAUAAAAGGAAUCGCCAGAUGGGAUUCCAAGUUGUUUGGCUAAAGGAGAUCGCCAGAAGGGAUCUCAUAUUUCGAUAAGGGUCGCCAGAAGGGACCUAAUAUUUCAGCUUUGAAUAAAAGGAAUCGCCAGAUGGGGUUCCAAGUUAUUUGAGAUCGCCAGAAGGGAUCUCGUACUUCGACAUUCAUCAAGGAAGGUCGCCAGAAGGGACCUUAUAUUGAAACCAUUUCUUAGAAAGCAUGGAGUUUACUAAGAAUUAUUCCCCUUGGGUUAGUCACCCAUACAAUGAGACCAUCAUUUUUCUUGGGUAGGUCACCCACAAUGAGACCAUUAUUUUUCUGGGUAGGUCACCCAUACAAUGAGACCAUCAUUUUUUCUGGGUAGGUCACCCAUACAAUGAGACCAUCAUUUUUCUGGGUAGGUCACCCAUACAAUGAGACCAUCAUUUUUCCUGGGUAGGUCACCCAUACAAUGAGACCAUCAUUUUUCUGGGUAGGUCACCCAUACAAUGAGACCAUCAUUUUUCUGGGUAGGUCACCCAUACAAUGAGACCAUCAUUUUUCCUGGGUAGGUCACCCAUACAAUGAGACCAUUAUUUUUCUGGGUAGGUCACCCAUACAAUGAGACCAUUCCUUUUUUCUUGGGUGGGUAGGUCACCCAUCACAAUGAGACCAUAUUUUUUUCGGGGCAGGUCACCCAUCAAAAUGAGACCACACACACAUUUUUUGUAUUGGGUAAAGGAAUCACCAGAGGGGAUUCCAGGUUAAAGGAGAUCACCAGAUGGGAUCUCGAUGGAUUUCCAUAUUGAUCAAACUAAAGUAGAAUUCAGAGGAUUGCUGGAUAAGGAUCUCGAGAUGGCUAAGUUUUGAUCAUGUUUUUGGGCUAAGGAGGAUUGUUAUAAAGGACAAAGUUUCAGAUAAAUCAGCUUCGACCAUAUCAGUUUCGGGAGUUCCGUUUUGGGUUUAUCUUUAUAACACUUACUGCGCAAAACCCAUGCUCCGUAAGUAUUAUAAAGAGGGGGCAUCUGUUGUAACCCAUUUUUGGGUCCCCAUGAAAAAUAAAAUAAAUAGCCAAAAGAGUUUAGAAAAAAUAACAGAAGGCAGAAGCGCUCAGGAAACAGUCAGAAAAUUGGUCAAGAAAUUCAAAAAUACAAGGAUUAAAUUUUUGACAGUAUAUUCUUGAAGGAUGAAAGCCCUAUUGAGAAGGAAAAUUUGAAUUUUGAGGAGAAAAGCCCAAAUUUGGAUGUUUAUGGACUUAAUUGGAUUUUUAUUUGAAUUUAUAGAAGAUUUGAUUGCAAGAAAAAUUGAUUUUUAAGUCAAUUUGGGCUUUAAUUUGGAGAAAUUUAAGUUCUGGGGCCAAAAUAUAUUUUUUAGGAAUUUAUUGGGUCAAAUCAGGGGCUCAAUUGCAUAAAUAUUGAAGUUUAAGGGCCAAUUAGGGACUUAAUUGUGAAAAUCCGAAACCAGGGACCAAUUUGGAGAAGGCGCAAAGAUAGAGGGGGCUGUUUGGAUUUGUUUCAGGGGCUUAAUUGAAGAAAUUGGAAGUUUAUUGAUCAAUUAGGGGCUCAAUUGCAUAAAUCAGAGGCCAAGGACCAAAGUGAAAAAGGCGGCCAACAAGAGGGGCGGGGACCGAAUUUGGGGGACUGAUUUGAAGUUCAGCCAUUUAAAUGAAACGGCGCGUUUUACCCAAAACGACGCCGUUUCAUAAAAAAAAAAAAAAAAAAACGGUGUCGUUUUGAACGACACUGUUCAUCUUCCUCCUCCCCCCGUUUUAACAGAACAGCAGACGAAAAAAAUUCGAAAAUCUUCCCGCGCCUCUCUCUCUCCUCGCCCCCACCACCUUUAGUAUUGGCCGACCAGCCGUUGCACCGCACUAACGAUGGUCCCCCACGGUUCGGCCCCUAUAAAUAGAGAAGAAAACCGAAGCUGCAGGGAGAGAAAAAAAAAAAACCGAAGGGAGGAGAGAGAGAGAGGAGGCCGAAGAGAGAGAGAGAACCGAACACCGACGAGAGAAGGAGCCGCAGCGCCGCCCGGGAAGCCACGCCACCGCAGCACCACCUCCUCCACGCCAGGUCACCUCUUCCCCCCCCCCUGUCGUUAGUUUUUGUAUUUGUUUUCCCUGCAUGCAGAAUGAACAUUCUGCAUGCAGGGAGGAGGGGGGAAUUAAUUCCCCCCUUGUUUAUACGUAGCUGGGCCAGGUGGAUCCUGGCCCAGCAUCAUUUGUUUAUACCAGCUCUCUGGGCCAAGUCCGGCCCAGAUAUUUGGGCCGGCCCAGCCCGAAUUAUUUUUAUAUUAUAUAUUAUAUAUUAUAUUAUAUGUGUGUAUAUAUGUAUAUAUAUAAAAUAUAAUAAUAAAAAAAAAUAUUUUGAAAAAUCUUAAAAAAAUAUUGUUGAUUUUUCUGCAUAUUUUUGUCAAAAUGUUUUAAUUUUGGUUUGUAUUUUUAUACUGUAAAGAUACAAAACCAGUGUUAUAAAUACCCGGUUUUCGUCAAAACAUCAAAGAUUUUUCAGAAUAAAAAAUGUUUUUGCUUUCAAAAAAAAUUUCUAAAAGUCCCUAAAAAUGUUGUUGAUUUUUCUGCAUAUUUUUAUCAAAAUGGUUUAAUUUUGGUUUGUAUUUUUAUACCGUAAAGAUAUAAAACCAGUAUUAAAUACCCGGUUUUCGUCAAAACAUCAAAGAUUUUCAGAAUAAAAAAUGUUUUUGCUUUCAAAAAAUUUCUAAAAAUUCCCUAAAAAUGUUAUUGAUUUUUCUGCAUAUUUUUAUCAAAAUGGAUUAAUAUUGGGUUGUAUUUUUAUACCGUAAGGAUACAAGCUCAGUAUUAAAAUACCCGAUUUUCGUCAAAGCAUAAAAAAAAAUAAUAUUUUCCAAAAAUUGUUUUUGUUUUAAAAUACGGCCUAGUCUCUUCAAAUAUAUAUAUAUAAAUAUUAUAACAUCAUAUUUUCACACAACAAAGAAAAUUUUCAAAACAAUAUAUGUAUUAACAUGCAUUUUGGCUUUAAUAACCAGUUUAUUCAAGCCAUGAGAACUAGGCCAAUAUUUCAAAAAUUCUAAAAAAUCUUUUUGUUUUAUUUUAGUAUUUGGGAUUACGAAUUUAUACGUAAAACGUAUUCCUAAGUAUUAUUAAUAAAAUUUUGGUAUGGACGUUAGAACGGUUAGGAUUUUUACCCGAUAAGAUAAAAGACCUUCUUACUGAGGAGGAUUUUUCUUGAACCAUAGACAGAUCAACGACUAGGAAAACACAACAACACUUUAGUUUUUUUUUAUCAGACAUUAAAACAAUGCAGCUUACCUUAGGUAGGGCGUAUUUGGGGUGCUAAUACCUUCCCUUUACGCAACCAGUCUCCGUACCCGAUCUCUAAGACCAGUUAGGUUCCUAGUGACCAAAAUACUAGGUGGCGACUCCAAAGAACCAAAUAAAAAUAAAUAAAUAAAAAAUUCGCCAGUCGAACCCGCAAUUGAUGAAUUUGAAAUUUUUUUGGGGUGCGACAUUCCUCAUUGAGUCGACGUUGAUAUUGCUCGUUUUCAAAAAAUAUAAAAAAAUUAAGAAAAAUCAAAAUUUUACAUAAAAAGACAGUUGAGGGACCAAUUUUGAGCCCCUGACAACAUUUUAUUUGUAAAUAUAGGUUCAAAACUCAAAAGAGAGGAGGAGGAAUUUUGAAUAUUUGAGGGGAGAAAAAUUGAAAAAAAGGGAGGGGAGCUGGUUUGAAAAAAAAGAAAAAUAAGAAGAAACCCUAAAUCUAUCUCUUCUCCAAGCAGCCGCCGUAGCCCCUAGCCCCUCUGAUUUUUUUUCUUCCUCUCCCCAACGGCUCACCACAAGAGACAGCCACCCCCCACCUACCCAGCAGCUCACGCCUCCCCCCUUAUUUUCUUCUCCUACAGCCGCCGAAAACAGCCCAUCCCAAUCUCACUUUCUUCUCCCUCACCCGGAGCCAUCAACAGCUGCUCACUCCCCCCUCACCCACGGGCAAGCUCUCUUCCUCAAGCCGAACACAGCGACAACCCCCGCUGUCUUCUUCCUAGUCUUCGCUGUCAACAGCAGCAUCGCCCACAGACUCGGAGAGAUCCAUCUUCUCCCUCCAGCAGCGACCACAGAUCUGCCCUCCAGCGACAACCCCCAUACGACAGCACCUAUAGAAACCAGCCGCUGCUCACCUUCCUCCAGCCACUCACAGAGAUGCCCUGACCUCAGAGCCGUCCGCCACCUGCAUAAGGGAAGACAGAAAACCAAAAAGAGAAGACAAGAGAGAGUAGAUCUGAAAAAAAAAGAAGGAAAAACAAUCGGAAGCUUUGCAUGUGUGUUUUUCCCUUUGCAGGUAACAGUGGUUCUCACAGCCAGCAGAGAAGGGAAGGGAAAAAGAAAGCAGGACAAAUCUGUCCAUUUCCGGGCAUUGUCAGCGGCGACGCGUGGAGCAACGUGCCGCUACUGUUCAGUCAGACCAGAAUGCAUCCCAGAGUUGUCUUCCUGAAUUUUUUGGAUUAUUUUGUAAUUUUCAAAUUGUUUAAUGUAAUAUUUGUGUAAUUUUGAGUUUUUUUUUUAAUUUCUACUUGGUGUAAAUGUUGACGUAAAAGAAAAAAAAGAAAAGAAAAGAGAAGAAAAAACAAAUAAUAAUAGAAAAAGAGUUGUGUGUGUGUUUGUAUUUUUUUAUGUAUGUUAUUGAAUCAAAAGAAAAAAAAAAUGAGUUUAAUAUUUUAAUUUAUAUGCACAAAUAUCUAAAGGACAAAUAAAAAUCAUGUUGUAUUUUCCAUGAAAAUGUAGAACAUGUAUCUACAUAUAUUCUGGGAACUAAUAACUGAUUUAUCAAAGCCUUAGAAUUGAUCUAAAAUUUUAUUUUUAAAAUCACAUCAAGUCCAUGAAGCUUGAAAGUGAAUGUGUGGUGUGUAUUUUGUUUAUGAAUGUUUUUUUUUUUUUUUUUUAUGAUAAAAUUGCAAGAAUAAAGAAGAAUUUAAUAUUUUGAUUUGCUCACGGAUAAAGAAUUAUGAACUUACAUGUAAGUUGUAUUUUCUAAAAUUCGAUGAAUGAAUCAAAUUUUAAAACUUCUUUAACACAUCAAGUCCACGAAGCAGCUUACCUCAGGUAGGGUGCGUUAGGGGUGCUAAUACCUUCCCUAACCACAACCAGUCCCUUACUCGUGAAUCUCUGACGAGACCAGUACACCCGGGUUUCCUAGUAGCCUUCAAUGAAAUACUAGGUGGCGACUCCAACGAACCAAAUCAAGCAAACGCAGAAACAAAAAAAUCGCCAAGCCUGAUGCCGCGCAGAUUUUCUGACGUGCGACAUAAUCCGUGCGGCAUCAGUCAUGUUCACACUUUAGAUCAGCUUGCAGACUUGCUUACGAAGCCUCUUCCACGCCACCGUUUUCAAGUCUUAAGAUCCAAGAUUGGAGUUAUUGAUGGUACCUUCAUCUUGCGGGGGCAUAUAAGGAAAGUCAUCACUCUCCCACAAAUCACUCAUCCAACAACAUCAGUUUCUCCACAAAAUCCUCAUCCACCGAAAUCAAAUCCUUACGUUUAAUUUGAAUGUUUGAAUCAUGGAUAGCUUGCAGUUAGUUACAGGAUAGCAAAACUUCAGGCUUAAUAAGCUCUUCAAUCUUGUAUUUAUACAUGCACAAUGUAAAUGAAAAAGUGUGAAGUUAUCUCAUUAAUCUGCUUCUUAUCUUCUCUAUAAAGGCUUCCUUUUAACAUAAUUCUGCUUGAUAUGCUCCAUGUAAUUACAAACUAAUUAGCUCAAUCUGGUCUUCUCAUUUCUGGCAAUUAGUCAUUUUGACGGCGACUUGCAACAAUGUACUGUCACCAACCGUAGUAUUGGACUUCGAUUCACCGAUAAUGCCCUGCAACUGAGCUUGAGCGUUGGAAUUGGACAUUGGCAUUUUAGGCAAGGAAUUGCCUUGUAGAAUAGAAGAAGAAGAAGAAGAAGGGGAAAAAACAAGCAACGAUCCUAGUCUCAUUAAUUCUAUUCUUCGUAAAGAGCUCACUCUUGAGAUAACAUAAGACCAACAAACGUUGUUUAUACUAAGAACACGUGAAGCUUUCAUGCUAACGUUUUCUUUUCCCCUCUUUAUAUACCUUUUUUUUUUAAAAGAAAAAAUCUAAGAUACGAUGGGAAACAACUUUACAGGCAUUAACACAAAAAAAAAUCAACAGGAAGCUCCUAAAUGCUGCGGAAACAUAUAGCAAUUUAUAAAGAAAAGGAAUAAAUGACCUGAAAAAUCUCUUAUUCUGAACCACAAAUCGCAGCUCAUAUAGCAGUAAAAAAAGAAGUAGGACUUGGAGGGAUUGGGAUUUCGACUGUCCCCCUCAACAUGAGGAGGACCUUUUUCAUUGAAGGGCUGAGGGAUGGCUCAUCAAGAGUGCACCAAAGUCCCACUUUAACCAUCCUAUCUAAACUGUUUCUUAUCGACGAUUCAUCACCCACAAGUUGUCCAUAUCACCGUCCAGAAAACAUUGGUAAACCCACUGUUCGAGAACAGCUUCAUCCUCUGGAAGACUCGAAUCCACAUUCUUUCGACAACACGUGAUCUCCAACAACAUAACUCCAAAGCUAAAACAUCUGCUUAACUGUCCCCGGCAUAUUCCGGUGCCAUUCUGGUGCUACAUAUCCCUUGUCCCUCUAAUUCCGGUGAAGGUUUUAGUUUGGUCUGACUUCAGCAAACUUUGCCAAUCCAAAGUCAGAAACUUUGGGGCACCUGCUUUCAUCUAUUAGUAAUUCUGAGGUUUUAUUCACAGUGGAUGAUCUGAGUGUCGCACUCUUCAUGUAGAUAAACAAUACCCCUUGCAAUGUUGCGAGCAAUUUCCAACCUUUCAGGGAAAGCAAGGUCGUUUUUCAGUGAGAAGAGUAUGUCAGCGAGGGACCAUUGCUCAUGUACUCGUAUACCAGGAGCCUGUGCAUGGCAAUAGCCCGAGCAGACGGGCUAGGUUUCUGUGACGUGUUUUCCCAAUGACUUUCAUCUCAUUCUGAAAUUCUCUUUCCCUUCAGCUAGAGCUUUCUCCAGUCUCUAGACAGCAACGAGUACUUGAUAUAUCCCUUUAAACUGUCCCAAAUGAUCCCCUGCCAAUUUCUUCCUUGAAACCACCAGUAAUAUUUUCUAGCUUUGCAUAAGUGAAAGCUCGAGGAGCAAAUACCUCAUUCAAUGCAGUACCAUCAUUAUUUGGCACCCUUUUAUGCCAAUACAUGAUAUCUGUAAACGAUGAUUCCGAAAAUCGACACCAUAGCAAGCCCAAAAGCAACAAAUGAACCAUUUAUGAUGCGAACCUCGUGAUCACGUGGUCACGCAACCCACACGCAAAGACACCAAUUCCCGGAAAACCAAGUAAAUCAGGUUUGAUAGGAGUGUGACACAAAGAUAACUUGUACCUAGGCACCAGCACUAUUGGAAACGAAAAACCCCCACCCAACGAAUAUAGAUUCGCGAAUGAGAAGUAUAAGGAUGAUGCCACGAAGCCAGUUGUUCUUCGAUAAGUCGUUUUCAGUUCUUUAGAGAACCAAGGAAGGGAGAUUAUCCCACCAACACACAAGUACUGCAAAGAAGUUUAUUGAUAUAAAAGCCUCUAUUUAUACUGACUCUAGACUUAAAGAAACCCUAAUGGACCCCCCUUAGGUGGACUUAUAUGAAGCCCACUUACAAUUGACCCAAAUAAGUAAUAAUAACCCAAAAACUAAGAAGAAAAUAAUAAAAAUAAUAAAAAUCCGAAAAUUACCAUCCUAAAUAUGCUAGAAUCAAAUUUGUAUUGAUGUCCUUGAUUAGCUUGGAUAAAUUUCCUCCUUUGUUGCUGAUUUAAUUACUUUUCUUCCUAUGUUAGGAAAAGCAUUAAAUAGUCCUCCCCUCUUUAGGAAUAAGAUAUGGCCAACUUCCUUACUUAAUUAGGAGAAUAAAUUGCUGGCUUUUUAUCCUUGUAGCAUUAGGAAAUAAAACAAGCCUAACAAGGCUGGUAUUGGGCCGGACAUAUCAACCCCUUGUUCCACAUGAAUUGGGCUCUUCUUGGACAUGAACUAGAUGAAUUAAAGGCUGUCCUUCAUGCUCCUUAAAUGUCCCAAGCCCUUCUAGGUCCAUCUUGCUCCAUAAGUUCUGAACAAGCCCAUUCAAUGCUUCUUUAAGCUUCUUUGCCCUAGCUCUUGUGAUUGGCCCAAUUGGCACCUCCAAUGGAUCGUUGGCAUGAUUACGCUUGGUGUUGGGCUGAUCCGCAUCAACGUAUUAUUAGGAUUGUCCUGCCAGUGCCAAGGUUCUUCUUCUCGGUUAUAGGCUCUUUUCUGUCCAUGGUGGACAUGGGUCUGCCCACCUUGACGACAGCCAAGUUCGUACUUCCUAAGUUUCUCCUCCCAAAUCUCAAAGGAAGCCUUUGCUUUCUGCAGUACUGCCCAUCAGU
rnacentral:lncRNA from 1 species